CAUUCGAAAAUCAGAUAAUGUAAAAUUGGGCUUUUCAAUUUCAGAUCUAAUGAUCCAAACCCUUUUGUCUAAGACAUAUAUAUACUCCCCUAGGGUUUCCUAAUUCACUAUGCUGCCCUCUCUGCAGAUUGAGUUCAAUUCCAGGUAAAAAAUGACGAUUCCACCACUGUAUCCUUAAUUUCUCUUGCUUGUGGUUUGAAUCAUCAGCACCUUGCCCUGGAUACAUGAUGCUUCUACUAUCUUCACCUCUCAAAAUUGAGAUCUCUGGUGGAUGGGACAUUUCUUCUUUUUUGGUGCUGAAUUUGGAGUUCUAGGUCCCUAAGACAGUUUGCAUGUCCAAAUAUGGAUGGUAGGGAGAUAUUGGAAUGCUCUGAACCGCAAAUAUUUUAUUUUCAUUCUGCUACUCAGGUGUAUUAGUUGCAAAAAUGUCACUUGACCCUCCUGCUUUCCUAAGAGUCCUUUUAAUGGAUGAAUAUGCAUAGGCUAGUCAGAUGUUCAAUUUUUUGUUGCCCUUUUGGGUUGUAAAUAUUUGCUUUUGAUGUCUGGUAUUAAUUUUUGUUGUAUCCUUCAGCCUUUUCAUCCUUUUGUUGAUGAUAAUCUACUGUAUGGAAACUGUAGCUUUUCAAUGUUAAGAAUCUUCUUUCCUUUAACUUCUAA